GAUAGCGAACAUUACUAAUAGGUUUUAAAAUUUGGUUUUGCUAGGUAACUGUGUAGACCGAUUCUGAUAGCUUUACUGUCGAUUGAUGCUAAUAGCUUUGCUGUUAUUAUAUGUCUACAGUACAAAACUAAAUUUUAUUACCGCUUAUUAGUAUUGUACUUGUAACUUGCGUAUUAUGAAUGUUGUACUUUCAUAAGCUUGCACCCGCUUUAUCUUAUUUACGAACAACAGAAGAAUACAGAAUUUACGCUCAAGAAUUAUCUUUAACUGAUACCAGACAAUUUAUCGUCUGCUCAGUAUCAGAUAUCUGGACAUUAAUUAAUGCAACUGAUUCAUGCAGCAGGAACUUCUACGAAGUUAUUCCGGAAUUUUACACUGCAAAAUUGUAUACCGAUCUUGAAUUUCUAAAAACCCAAAAUCCUACUAUCACAUUAACAAAAUUAAUACCGUUGCUGAUCGAAAAAAUCAACGAUAUCUUUGGAAAUGAUGAAGUUAUUGUUCUGGAUUCAACAUCAGAAUUUAAAGAAAGUUUUCAUCUUGUAUGGCCAAAAAUUUUAAAGCCAUACAAUAAACUGUUCAAGUCAAUAAUGCAACCCAUUUCUGAAUUACCGGAAUUCCAGGUUGUUGAUAAAUAUGGAAGAUUUACGUCAUGCAUUGACAUGAAUGUGUACAACACCAAUCAAAAUUUUCGAUUGUUAAAUUGCUCAAAAAAAGGGAAAUUUGCAUUUCUUACGAAAAGCUCGUUAACAUCCAAAUCGUAUCUACCAUUAAGUAACGAAAUAUUUUUCGAAAUGUCUUUAGUAUGUUCUUAUCCUGUACGCACUGCGCCCAAUUUCUUUUCAUCCGAUUAUUGUCAACAGCCAACAAAACACACUACUGAAUCGAGGACCAGUAUUUGCAAAAGAGGCGCACCAAACGCAGUUUUAACAACAAUCGUUUCGCUAAUCUUGUGUCGUUGGGAUGAAGCAUUUUUGACCCAGAAUAACAUGCUUUUUGACUACAACCUCCACACCCAAAUUAUUCUUAUUAUCCUGAAAUGCAGAUACUGUGUUUCUCAGCGAAAGCAGCACGACAAAAACCAUACCUAUUUGAUUUAUAAGAAAAACUCCAGCUCGGUACAGCUCAGAUGUCACGAUACAUCCUGUAAAGAUUUGGCGCGUUCAAAAGGAUGGCCUGCAAUUCAACUCUUACGAACAGAGUACAUCGAUUUGAACAACGGAAUUAUCUCCCUGGAAACACGUAAACUGCGUGACCUUUCGAAAAAAAUGGAUGAAAACGUGGAAGAACCUCCAGAUAGUCCACUAGAGAAGAAUCACCUGCAUGUAGAUGUAGAUGACCAUUUACCAGACCAACAAACAUCGUUUCUGCAGGCAAUAAUUCAAGGAGAGCAUAUACUGGACUGCAAAGUUAUACUGUAGCCGCUCGCUUGAGUUAUACCACACAUAAUCAGACACAAAAGGAAAAUUAUGGACGCUUGGCUUUUGACUGUACAGGACGCAAAAGUCAUGACAUCAGGCGUACUAGUUGGACAAACUUUUUCCAACAUCAUUCAAGAACUGCAGUUACCAGCUGCUGCAACCCUAUGCAAAAUUACGUUGAUUCAUGCCACAUCUGAUCGGUUGGUACGCUGCAGUUCUGCGAAAGGUGUUCGGAUUCGGUGUCCACGAAGCACAGUCGUGACGUCUCCCUCAGGAAGCGUAACACGGACCAAGCCAAAGGAGCACAAAAGGGAAAAGUCGCCCAUCAGGAGUGUGGCUGGAUACCAUUUCCAGCGUCCAGAUGCCCGGCAACGCAUCCGUAUUUCAGCAGGGAGAUGAAGAAAAUCUUCCGGACGCUCUACAAUUUUGGAAGAAUAUAAGUCACUGAGAAGUGCGCCGCGCCGGUCAGAUCUCAUAUGUUGGACCUAUACUUAGUGCAUACCUAUUGAGUGCGCAUAAUACUUUACUUGACCACUUCCGCGCAGCAGUUCCCAGUUGUCGCAGUGAUAAAUACUACCAAGCGGUAUUUUCUGUAUGCUUUUGCCAUCCUUAAAAUCGAUAAGCAGGCCUGGUUGUGCCCCUUUAUCAGGAGUAAUGGCAUUAAGCGUUAAACCCAUAACUUGUCCGUGAUAAUGCAUUCCGUCCUCCGAUAAGACAUCCGCCGUGAACUCUGAUUUUUC